rnacentral:rRNA from 1 species
AUGAACGCUGGCGGCGUGCCUAAUACCUGCAAGUCGAGCGAACGGACGAGAAGCUUGCUUCCCUGAUGUUAGCGGCGGACGGGUGAGUAACACGUGGAUAACCUACCUAUAAGACUGGGAUAACUUCGGGAAACCGGAGCUAAUACCGGAUAAUAUUUUGAACCGCAUGGUUCCAAAGUGAAAGACGGUCUUGCUGUCACUUAUAGAUGGAUCCGCGCUGCAUUAGCUAGUUGGUAAGGUAACGGCUUACCAAGGCAACGAUGCAUAGCCGACCUGAGAGGGUGAUCGGCCACACUGGAACUGAGACACGGUCCAGACUCCUACGGGAGGCAGCAGUAGGGAAUCUUCCGCAAUGGGCGAAAGCCUGACGGAGCAACGCCGCGUGAGUGAUGAAGGUCUUCGGAUCGUAAAACUCUGUUAUUAGGGAAGAACAUAUGUGUAAGUAACUGUGCACAUCUUGACGGUACCUAAUCAGAAAGCCACGGCUAACUACGUG